rnacentral:rRNA from 1 species
GAUGAACGCUGGCGGCGUGCCUAAUACAUGCAAGUCGAGCGAACAGACGAGGAGCUUGCUCCUCUGACGUUAGCGGCGGACGGGUGAGUAACACGUGGAUAACCUACCUAUAAGACUGGGAUAACUUCGGGAAACCGGAGCUAAUACCGGAUAAUAUAUUGAACCGCAUGGUUCAAUAGUGAAAGACGGUUUUGCUGUCACUUAUAGAUGGAUCCGCGCCGCAUUAGCUAGUUGGUAAGGUAACGGCUUACCAAGGCGACGAUGCGUAGCCGACCUGAGAGGGUGAUCGGCCACACUGGAACUGAGACACGGUCCAGACCCCUACGGGAGGCAGCAGUAGGGAAUCUUCCGCAAGGGGCGAAAGCCUGACGGAGCAACGCCGCGUGAGUGAUGAAGGUCUUCGGAUCGUAAAACUCUGUUAUUAGGGAAGAACAAAUGUGUAAGUAACUAUGCACGUCUGGACGGUACCUAAGCAGAAAGCCACGGCUAACUACGG